rnacentral:rRNA from 1 species
AACGUAGGGUGCAAGCGUUAUCCGGAUUUACUGGGCGUAAAGCGCCCGUAGGCGGACAGGCAAGUUGGACGUGAAAGCUCCUGGCUUAACUGGGAGAGGUCGUUCAAGACUGCCUAUCUAGAGGUUGGCAUAGGUGGGUGGAAUUCCCGGUGUAGUGGUGGAAUGCGUAGAUAUCGGGAGGAAGACCAGUGGCGAAAGCGACCCGCUGGGUCAAACCUGACGCUGAGGGGCGAAAGCGUGGGGAGCGAACGGG